UACGAAGGGGGGCUAGCGUUGUUCGGAAUUACUGGGCGUAAAGCGCACGUAGGCGGAUUGUUAAGUUAGGGGUGAAAUCCCAGGGCUCAACCCUGGAACUGCCUUUAAUACUGGCAAUCUCGAGUCCGAGAGAGGUGAGUGGAAAUUCCGAGUGUAGAGGUGAAAUUCGUAGAUAUUCGGAGGAACACCAGUGGCGAAGGCGGCUCACUGGCUCGGUACUGACGCUGAGGUGCGAAAGCGUGGGGAGCAACAGG
rnacentral:rRNA from 1 species